ensembl:lncRNA
CUCUCUCUCUCCCUGCUAGAGGCACGUCUCUCUCCCUCCCUGCUAGAGGCACGUCUCUCUCCCUCCCUGCUAGAGGCACGUCUCUCUCCCUCCCUGCUAGAGGCACGUCUCUCCCUCCCUCCCUGCUAGAGGCACGUCUCUCUCCCUCCCUCCCUGCUAGAGGCACGUCUCUCUCCCUCCCUCCCUGCUAGAGGCACGUCUCUCUCCCUCCUUGCUAGAGGCACGUCUCUCUCCUCCCUGCUAGAGGCACGUCUCUCUCUCUCCCUGCUAGAGGCACCUCUCUCCCUCCUUGCUAGAGGCACGUCUCUCUCCCUCCUUGCUAGAGGCACGUCUCUCUCCCUCCCUGCUAGAGGCACCUCUCUCCCUCCUUGCUAGAGGCACGUCUCUCUCCCUCCUUGCUAGAGGCACG